UACGUAGGGUGCAAGCGUUGUCCGGAAUUAUUGGGCGUAAAGAGCUCGUAGGCGGUUUGUCGCGUCUGCUGUGAAAACUCGGGGCUUAACUCCGGGCCUGCAGUGGGUACGGGCAGACUAGAGUGCGGUAGGGGAGACUGGAAUUCCUGGUGUAGCGGUGAAAUGCGCAGAUAUCAGGAGGAACACCGGUGGCGAAGGCGGGUCUCUGGGCCGAUACUGACGCUGAGGAGCGAAAGCGUGGGGAGCAAACGGG
rnacentral:rRNA from 1 species